UUAGUCCGCGAUCUCCCUCACACGAUCCCCUUAACAACGCAACGGGAUUUUUCCUUUUAUCUAUCCAUCUUUUUCUCCCAAAAAAACUGCCCCCUCCCCUCACCCGCACACCUCUUCCCACGACCCCGUCGCCCGUCGGUUCGCCACCGCCGCCCCACGCGAUGCCGGCCAUCUCUCCCCUAUUUCUAUCUUCUCCCAUCCCACACGACAAGAGCGCGGCGGAGGGCGACCGCCAUUUCUCUCUCCCUCGCCCCCCUCCGCCUCACCCGUCUCUGUCUCCUCUCCCGCACCCCCGACACGGCCUCAUGCUUCCAGGCGCUCGCCUGGAAGGAGGCAGCCGCCUCAACAGUCUUCGGUGCCGGUGUGGGCACGGGGAGCGGGCUGCUUUCGAUGCUUGACCCGACGCUCACCAACGAGGAGCAGUACUGCCGUGAGCGCACCCAGGUGCAGGCGCAAGGGCAUUGAGGCAGAGAGGUUCACCGUAGAGGGGAUCUCAGUGAGCAGGCACGAGACAUGCGUCACUGCGCCGGCCCCAUACUGCAGCAGUGUUUGGUUCAACAACGAUUUGUUCACUGCCUGACAUUUUUGUUUGAGCAGCUUCAGUAUUAUCUUUAUCUAAUUGCUUGUCAAGUUGCUAAUUGGAGUCUUCAGAUUCUUAGUUACAUUGUAGGUCAGUAAAUCUAAUGUGUGACAUCUUUGAGUUUUCAUCUGGAAGUUAAAUAAAUCUAGAUCGCUUGAGAAUGAUCAUGAUACUGAGAUACAUGCAAGCAUAUCUGAUGCAUAUCUGAUUUGUUCACUGUGUUGUUACUUACACCGGGCUUGUACCUUGCUUGAGUAAGUAUUUUCUUGUGCAUUUCAGUACGUAAUGUUAAUUAUGCUUUUUUUCCUUCCUCAGGAUCGACAAAUUAUCAAGCACACAUGGUACGAUCAUCAAGUAGUCGUGCGGUGUAUUGCAACAGCCGUGAGGUAAAUGAGAGGGGAGAUCCAGGCGCCGGAGAGGAGGAAGAAGGUGGUCAAGGCCACACAUCAGCUGAAAGUCCCCCCCCCCCCCCCCCCCCGCCAGACAGGCACAUGUUUGGUUGCUGUUGAUCCUGCAUUACGGUGCACACAAUCUGUUUGAGAUGUGUUUUUUUUGGGUAUAACAGUGUGCGAUGGUGGUGAGGUGGAAUCUGCACAAGCUAAGAAUCAGGCACUAAGGGAUGCUGGGGCUGUUGUUCCUACUUCAUUGGAAACUCUUGAAAGGAUUAAGGAGACAUUUCAGAAGUUGGUACAUCACGGCUGAUGUCUUUUGCAAGUUUUUUUUUGGGAAUGUGUUAGUGGGAAUCAAAGCUUGGGGUUACAUAUAUUUUUUGCAGGUUGAGGAAGGAACAAUUCCUCCUGUCCCUGAGGUUACACCUCCCCCCAUUCCUGAGGAUCUUAAAAUUGCCAUUAAAAGUGGGAAGGUCCGAGCUGCAACGCAUUGAUUAAACAUCGGGGCCUCUUUUCAUUAUAAUUAGAUGGUGUGAAUAAUUGUUCAACUCAGGAGAGGGACACACUCUGGGAAAAGGUUGCUUGGGCAGGCUUGCAUCUCCGUAUAUUUUUCCAUAUAAAUUGUAAAAGUGGGCAACUCGAUGCUUGUUCCUUUGCCAUUGACCGUGUCGGGAAGUUGAGCUCAGAAACUGCCGUGACAGCACUGGAUGCUUGAACCCACCGGUAGCAUCAUGGAGCUACCAAUGUUAGGAAGGGUACCACAAGAGAUGAUUCUGAGAAGGGGUAAGGGGAAGGUCCUGAAAAGGAACAAGCUGGAGAAGAUAGAUCUUAUCACCAAAUAUACGUGGAGGAAGAUGAAGAAGCAAGACCCUAAGAUGGACGACUCUUAGAACAUAACUGACAAAUAAGCAGAGAAUUGUAGGUGCUAUGGAAUCGAUGGGUGGUCAGAAUUCUUAUCAGUAAUAGUUCAUGCUUGAUGUAUGUAGCUCUCCCCUGGCCUACUACAUUCAGGACACCUGCCCUGCAGUCGGUAUCGAGAAAUUAUGUCCAUUGCUUUUUCUACUACAUUGAGGGCUACAUGUGUUUCGAAGAGAGGUUUACAGUUGAGAUUUCUUUUGCUUUGUAGCUUCACAUGUUCAUACUUCCACCAGAUAGUCUGAACAAAUAUCACUGCAAGAGCCCCAUGCUGUAAAUUGAGUUAACUUUUAGCUUUGCGGGUAGUCAACCAAAUUUUGGUGCUUGGUUGAUAGCCCCUACCCAUUUAUCAAUGACAAUUGCCAUCACCUUUGUAAGCAAUAUUUCUGGUUCUGAUAAAGAACCAAGUUAUACUUAUUUGUUUUCUGUAUAAA